rnacentral:piRNA from 1 species
UGCCAUGACUUUGCUUGAACAUAUGGAG